GACGAACGCUGGCGGCGUGCUUAACACAUGCAAGUCGAGCGAACAAAGCUCCUUCGGGAGUGGAGUUAGCGGCGGACGGGUGAGUAACACGUGGGUAACCUGCCUUAUAGAGGGGGAUAGCCUUCCGAAAGGAAGAUUAAUACCGCAUAAGAAGUAGAAGUCGCAUGGCUUUAGCUUUAAAGGAGCAAUCCGCUAUAAGAUGGACCCGCGGCGCAUUAGCUAGUUGGUGAGGUAACGGCUCACCAAGGCGACGAUGCGUAGCCGACCUGAGAGGGUGAUCGGCCACAUUGGAACUGAGACACGGUCCAGACUCCUACGGGAGGCAGCAGUGGGGAAUAUUGCACAAUGGGCGAAAGCCUGAUGCAGCAACGCCGCGUGGGUGAUGAAGGUUUUCGGAUCGUAAAGCCCUGUCUUUGGGUACGAUAAUGACGGUACCAAAGGAGGAAGCCACGGCUAACUACGUG
rnacentral:rRNA from 1 species